AGCACUUGCAUAUGUUUUUGUUCCACUGGUGCACAAAGGCAGGUUAGACAGGUGCAAAAAUAAAUCCUCUUUUGCAACCCUAAACUCAUUUUUCAGUAUGUGUUUUGAUACAUACAAGAAGGAGUUUU